rnacentral:rRNA from 1 species
UACGGGGGGAGCAAGCGUUGUUCGGAAUUACUGGGCGUAAAGGGCUCGUAGGCGGCCAACUAAGUCAGACGUGAAAUCCCUCGGCUUAACCGGGGAACUGCGUCUGAUACUGGAUGGCUUGAGUUUGGGAGAGGGAUGCGGAAUUCCAGGUGUAGCGGUGAAAUGCGUAGAUAUCUGGAGGAACACCGGUGGCGAAGGCGGCAUCCUGGACCAACACUGACGCUGAGCGAGCGAAAGCCAGGGGAGCAAACGGG